UUUCUUCGUCCAAGGGGUGGAGAUGGGUCCGUUUACGGGGAUUGGGUUUCCGCAGCAGGGGAUACUGUCGCCUGGACCGGCGUUGUUGCCGCCGGUGCCGCCGAGCUUCUUCUCUCCUCAGAGUCGACGACGGAUCCGAGCUCGGUCGGGUAUUUCCACGAUUUCAGCCCAGGAGGGCUCCACAGCAGCAGAAAUUUCAUGGAUGGUACGGGACUAUUGCCGAGCCCCGGUAAUUUCUUCGCAGGAUUCUCGCCUCGGUUGUUGAACUCGCCGUUCCCGUCGGUAGAUCUGUUCAACAAUUUCAACUCCGGCAACUUUGACUUCUGAUUGGCAGAUUUGAAUAUUCUUUUAUUUGUUUUU
rnacentral:lncRNA from 1 species